AUUUUUGUUGCACAAGGAAACACAUGGAGCUCUGGUUGUGGAUGAUUUAUUAAUGAUCCAUAGCUGAAUCAUUCUUAGUUAUACAUUUACAUAGUAAUUACUGUGUAAAAGUUUCAAGGCCACUUUGACAAGUAUCAUAAAGCAUCUGAGUAGCUUUUAAAUUAAAACGGCACGUUUUCAACAUCUCUCAUAAUAAAGACCUUCUGUAAAGCUGAAAGGUGUGUCAUGGUAACUGCAUAAUUAUGAAAACGAGUUUGGCAGCUGAAUAAAUCUAAGAAGUGAAGCAGAGAAUUGACGGAAUGAUUUUUUUUUCCCAUUGCAGUCGCUCUCUUCUUGCUGAAUUCUGUGUCAGCAUUAAUGAUCUGAUGACGCAGAUCUUCCAUGCCUCCUGAGACAGACAGCAAUCACUAACUUUUAAAUAGAGACGUUUCAAAAUGAAACAUCAUCAUCCUCACAGCUCUCUGAAAUAUUUGCUAAAACAUUUCCCUCCUCUUGCAUCUCCUCUGAGGAAUCUGAAGGCAUCUGCUAGUUUCGCCUCCACUCCAGGCAGACGUCAUCGCUGCUCUUCUGCAAACACACCCUGCAUGUUCACACACCGCACCGCGCUCUCCUGGAGUCCUUGGACCCGCCAUCCUCUCCGCACCGGCAGCAGAGCGUACAUUAGGUUCUUCUGGGUUGCCCUUGAACCUUUAUAAAGAGCUUUUUUAGAGUUUCCCGUCCACCAGCACUGGCCGCUGAAUGAAAAUGUGGACAUAAAAGACUUCUAGCUCUUUAUUCACCCUGAGGGUGUGCUUUAAAGACACAAAAGAAUCUAAUUUACUGUUGAAUUGACUUUCAAAAUAAUAGUUCAUUUGAAUUGUAAAAUUAAAACACAAUAGCACUUUCUCCAGGACUGUGAUUUUUACGUAGCAGGGGAAAAAAAAAAAUCCUCUACCUUCAGUGGAUGAUGUAUUUGGCUUUUCAUAUAUCUUUAAACUCCAUGAGAAUUUAUGGUGGUGAAAUCACUUUUCAAAGCAUAAUUGCAGUUUUUUUAGUAUAUUUCAACCAUUCUAACAUAACAUUUUAUGUUGCAUUUCAUAAAUCCAGAGCUGAAUUUACCUUAUUCAAUAGGAAGUGUAAUAUCCACUGUAGUCCUGUGGAGGGAAUAUAUGGGGAAGUCCAAUCGGUACGUGAAGGGCCAUUUUUAUAUUUUUGAUAUAUUUGUAGGAAGUUUACAUUGUCCUCUCAAGUGAAAACACACAACGAUUAAAGCUGCAGUGGGUAACAUUUAAAAAAUUUUUUUUAAUUUUUUUGUUAAUGCUGUCUCUAGAAAUCUUGGCUCACAUUUUAUUGAACAGUUUGAAAUCCUAAAUUCAUCUUUACAAACUUACAAACUUCUGAGGGCUUCUGUGUAUUCAUACAAAGCUGAAAAACAAAUUCUAAUAAACGUUGACGCAUAAAUCCGCAUUAUAAUUAGAGACAUAUCCCCCCCGUACGAAAUAAUCACAAUAAAUCGUUAGCCACAUCCUUGUAUGACAACUUUUCCACUAAUCCUCUUCAUCAGUUGAACAAACUGCGACAGAAUUAAACGAAAGGGGAGAGUCGCCCAGUGAGGUUGAGACUAAUCUUAUUUUACAAGGAAACAUAAAUCCCCUAGGUGCCUGAAUGCUCCUGCACUCAUUCCCUGCAGUUUUAAAGGUUAAGAACCCCCUAUAAAUAAGCGGGGCACCACAUUAAGUUUCUGAUCAAGAGAUGGAUAGACGAGGCCCUUGAGCGCUGUUGGAAUGUGUCAUGUUGCAUAAAUUCCCCGACUAAACUGACAGCGAUUACUCUCUAAUUAGUCCACAGAGACAAAAGAGACGUGACGAGGGUGAACCACUUCUGUCAGUCGUAUCACAGCGGCGCUGUUGUGAUGCUUGGAGCCGAAGCCUACUUGUGACAAAAAAAAAAAAAAAAAAAAAGUGACUCAUUUGUGUCGUAUCUGCUUUACAAAAUACAAUUUACUCAGUUUUGCUUAAUUGAUGGCAUUUGUUGUCUGAUUUUUGUGUGAUUAUAGUGCCAUUGUUUUGUUUUGUUUUUUAGGUAGGGGAAAGCUGUGCUUGGAGAAAAUGAUGGUUUUAACUUACUGGGAGUAUUCUACUUCCUUUAUAUUUGUUGUUGUAGGGGGUAAAGGGACUGUUUGUGUUUGCAUGCAGUGGCUUCUAAUUAAACAUUUAAGUGCUUUUGGGAGUCAUGCUUUAAUGUAUUCUUUUUCUCUUAUCCCUCCUGUUGUUUUUCAAUAUUUGGAACCUGAAGAGAUGAGAGUAAUGAAUAUAAUGAAAUCUCAACCAAAACAUUUUUGUUUUUAGGCUUGGCUGCCCACAAACUAAUGAAAAUUUAGUGAAUGUAAUUUAUUUUUCUUGGGAUUUUGUGUGAGACUGUGACACACAGUAGUGCAAGAAAAUCACAUAUAGUUUUCAAACGAUUAAAAUAAGGAGAACUUGCUGUAAUGUCAGUGACUCAAUGUGAUCGGAAUAUAUGGAAGUGUCUUUAAAUCUGCUUAUUUGAUUGGUUUAACAUAUUUCUGUGUAUAAAUCCGGUUGUUUUUGCAAAGUGCUUUGAGAAUAUGAAACUGUGCUAUUUGAGUAAACUAAAUUGAAUUAAAAAGUAAAUCCAAACAGUGUUGUUCAUUGCUGUUACACCCUCAGAAUCAAUACUUGCAUUUCUGCAAGUCCUUCGGUUUCCACCCCCGCCAUCUUUUUUUUUGUUGUUGUUGUUGCUAUUCUUCAUAUUCUAGUUGAGUCAAAUGAAGAGUGUGUGUGAACAUCAAUCAAUUGGAUUUAGGUCUGGACUUUAUCUGUUCUCAUGUUUGUUCCAGAAUCAGCCUGUGUUUACAUCCAUGCAUCUUCCCGUCAUCUUGGAGCAGCUUCUGUAAAAAAAAACAUCAUGAUAACAUGAUGCUGCCACCACCCUAUAUCUCUAUGGAAACAAUGCCUUCUGGGCAGAAUGAAUGAUCCAACUGAGCUGUGGAUCUCUGCAGCUCCUCCAAAGGGUCUGGUAUGACCUUCUUUGUCCGUGCAACCCGGUGUGCUGCUGCUGCUGCCAGGUUGAACUAGCCAGAGGGCACCAGGGGUCCGCAGAGGCGCUGUGAUGGAUGGUCGGCGCUCAUUUAUGGAGGAAAAACUCUGCUCUGUAGUGUGUUUGGUUUUCUGCAUGGUCCAGUACAUGCGUAUGUGUGUCUGCGAGACUAACACAGGUAAAAGAGAGCAGGAGGUGUGGUGGGCCUUUGAUUCUGAAGCGUGCCACAACCUUGACCUUGCUUCUGGGCAAAAACAGGCCAAGCUUCGUGUGUUUAUAUGUGUGUCUGGAAGAAAAAGAGAGAGAAAGAGAGAGAGAGAGCAAGAACUCAGCUGACAAGGUUUUAAAGGCCAGAGGGUAGUCUAACCUUGGCAGAGAACAGACUGGACAACGGCCAGCCUCAUCUUCACCUUAAUCCCCAAGCCUAAUAAAUCCUUCACCAGGCCCUGCAGAGACUACUGCAUAUUUCACAUCAUGACCUGAUCAUUUUUCUGAUACGUUUUCACCAUUACACCCCCAAAAGAGCUCAUUGAAUAACAUCCCAGUGAAAGUUCAAAACGGCACAGCACUUCUUUCUUCUGACUGUGGGUGGCACUAUUGAGCCACUGUAGCUUGAGUGGCUGGGUCCAGUCAUCAAUAGUCAGAUGAAGGCAGAAAAAGCCCUGCUGAACAACAGUGCAAUUCACUCAUAGUGGGUUCUUGCGCCCCAGCUUCCUGCCUCCACCCACCCCUGAGGCUGUGAUGGAUGUGCUUGCCCGGAUAGGUGGUUAUGAAAUGCUUAACAACGUGACAUAACAACGCAUAACAAUAACAAUUUCACUUUACACCGUUCCUCAAAUGCCUCCGCCGUUUAGUCUCUUUAGGUAAAGCAAAUUAGCAAUAAACUGUUACCAAACAGAGAUCGCAUUAACGGCAUGGAAAAUAUGAGAAUAUAAAAAUUAAAGACAGUUUACAGGACAAUAAACAUAAUAAAAAUGAAGCGUUAAAAACCUUUUAAAUGGAUACCUUUUAUGAAAGCUUGAUAAUUUAAUAAGCAGCUCAUACUCGGUUAGAUUUGAUAGAGAGAGUCGACAGACUUUGUUUUUCAAGUUUGGCCGCAGAUUCUCAUUUGGAUUUGUGUCUGGACUUUGACUGAGCCAUUCCAACAUGCGAGUAUGCUUUGAUCUAAACCUCUGAAUUCCAGCUCUAAAGGUAUGGUUUUCAUUCUCCUGCAAUCGUUAUCAGCUUCUGGAUUACUUAGUUGAAUGUUAUCUGAGUUCUGUGUGUUCCUUGUGUUGUUCAGCUGCUUCGUGUUGUGUAUUGCGGUUCCACUGACCCUCG